UACGAAGGGGGCUAGCGUUGCUCGGAAUUACUGGGCGUAAAGGGUGCGUAGGCGGGUCUUUAAGUCAGGGGUGAAAUCCUGGAGCUCAACUCCAGAACUGCCUUUGAUACUGGCGAUCUCGAGUCCGGGAGAGGUGAGUGGAACUGCGAGUGUAGAGGUGAAAUUCGUAGAUAUUCGCAAGAACACCAGUGGCGAAGGCGGCUCACUGGCCCGGUACUGACGCUGAGGUGCGAAAGCGUGGGGAGCAAACAGG
rnacentral:rRNA from 1 species